CUGCUCUGUGCCUGUUAACAAGACUUCACCACAAACAACAACAAAAAGAGGAAGUGGGAGGAAGUGCAUCUGGGUGCAAAUACUGUGAGAUGCUGCGAACGCUAUCGCUGUAAUCUGAACACCUACAAGAAGCUGUUUUCUGGCUUGCAUGAUAGGGGAUGCUAAAUAUUUUUUUGCACCCCCUUUCAAAGUGUGGAAACUUCCUUUUUCUGUAAAGUCUCAUUCUCGGAAUGAGGCUGUGUGUGACAGACUGAUACAAGUGGGUCCUCUGAGUUUUUAUUUGUUUCAGAAAUCCAGUUGUAGUCCCACAUGAGAUGGAGGCUCAGACAGUCACGUGGGUGGUUUUUCUGGCCCUGAUAAAACAUGUUUCUACAAGUGACCCU